GAAGGGAGGUAUCCCUUCGGGGGGGGCACAGUAGGGAAUCUUCCACAAUGGGCGCAAGCCUGAUGGAGCAACACCGCGUGAGUGAAGAAGGGUUUCGGCUCGUAAAGCUCUGUUGUUAAAGAAGAACACGUAUGAGAGUAACUGUUCAUACGUUGACGGUAUUUAACCAGAAAGUCACGGCUAACUACGUGCCAGCAGCCGCGGUAAUACGUAGGUGGCAAGCGUUAUCCGGAUUUAUUGGGCGUAAAGAGAGUGCAGGCGGUUUUCUAAGUCUGAUGUGAAAGCCUUCGGCUUAACCGGAGAAGUGCAUCGGAAACUGGAUAACUUGAGUGCAGAAGAGGGUAGUGGAACUCCAUGUGUAGCGGUGGAAUGCGUAGAUAUAUGGAAGAACACCAGUGGCGAAGGCGGCUACCUGGUCUGCAACUGACGCUGAGACUCGAAAGCAUGGGUAGCGAACAGGAUUAGAUACCCUGGUAGUCCAUGCCGUAAACGAUGAGUGCUAGGUGUUGGAGGGUUUCCGCCCUUCAGUGCCGGAGCUAACGCAUUAAGCAUGGGGCCCCGCUUCUUUUUCGGAGAGACUACUG
rnacentral:rRNA from 1 species